rnacentral:rRNA from 1 species
UACGUAGGGGGCAAGCGUUGUCCGGAAUCAUUGGGCGUAAAGAGCGCGUAGGCGGCCCUGUAAGUCCGCUGUGAAAGUCAAGGGCUCAACCCCUUGGAUGCCGGUGGAUACUGUCGAGCUUGAGUCCGGAAGAGGCGAGUGGAAUCCUGGUGUAGCGGUGAAAUGCGCAGAUAUCAGGAGGAACACCUAUGGCGAAGGCAGCUCGCUGGGACGUGACUGACGCUGAGACGCGAAAGCGUGGGGAGCAAACAGG